rnacentral:ncRNA from 1 species
CAUUCAUCAUGAGUUAGCUGAGGGACUGGCCCGAUGACGCUGCGGCAACCAUCGCUUUUGCGAAACGGUGCCAAUUCCAACAGGAGUAAUCCUGAGAGAUGAGGG